GAGAGUGCCGUGUGUGUGAGAGAGUGCUGUGUGUGAUGGGUGUGAGAGUGCUGUGUGUGAUGGGUGUGAGAGUGCUGUGUGUGAUGGGUGUGAGAGUGCUGUGUGUGUGAGAGAGUGCUGUGUGUGAAAGUGCUCUGUGUGAUGGGUGUGAGAGUGCUGAGAGUGUGAUGGGUGUUAGAGUGCUGUAUAAAUGUUAUUGUGUGUGUG